UAAUUGAAGAGUUUGAUCAUGGCUCAGAUUGAACGCUGGCGGCAGGCCUAACACAUGCAAGUCGAGCGGUAACAUUUCUAGCUUGCUAGAAGAUGACGAGCGGCGGACGGGUGAGUAAUGCCUGGGAAAUUGCCUUGAUGUGGGGGAUAACCAUUGGAAACGAUGGCUAAUACCGCAUAACGCCUUCGGGCCAAAGAGGGGGACCUUCGGGCCUCUCGCGUCAAGAUAUGCCCAGGUGAGAUUAGCUUGUUGGUGAGGUAAGAGCUCACCAAGGCGACGAUCUCUAGCUGGUCUGAGAGGAUGAUCAGCCACAUUGGGACUGAGACACGGCCCAAACUCCUACGGGAGGCAGCAGUGGGGAAUAUUGCACAAUGGGCGCAAGCCUGAUGCAGCCAUGCCGCGUGUAUGAAGAAGGCCUUCGGGUUGUAAAGUACUUUCAGCAGUGAGGAAGGGGUAACGUUGAAUAGGCGUUAUUCUUGACGUUAGCUGCAGAAGAAGCACCGGCUAACUCCGUGCCAGCAGCCGCGGUAAUACGGAGGGUGCGAGCGUUAAUCGGAAUUACUGGGCGUAAAGCGCAUGCAGGUGGUCUGUUAAGUCAGAUGUGAAAGCCCGAGGCUUAACCUCGGAAUUGCAUUUGAAACUGGCAGGCUAGAGUACUGUAGAGGGGGGUAGAAUUUCAGGUGUAGCGGUGAAAUGCGUAGAGAUC
rnacentral:ncRNA from 1 species